rnacentral:lncRNA from 1 species
AGCGUCCUCCAAAAAUUGCAAAUGCCUCCGGCUAGCCAAUGAGGGGAGCUCGGACCGUACCAAAGUGGGAACCGGUUUAGGGGUGCUCCUUAAAGCUUUCUCAAAGAAACUUGGCAAUAUUAAAGGAACUCGGAAUUUCACAACAUGGAAGGGACAACUGUUUAAACCCAUUAUUACAGUACUAUUGAAGAGACUGUAAAGCUUUAAAUGUGCCCUUUUACAAAAGCCCAAACGUAACCGUGUGUUCAGAGUUAAUUAAUGGAUUCGUCCGCGCCAACAUUGAAAGUUUCGUGAAAGUGAACUCCAAUGCCGUUAGCUUGCUAUUGGUUUACUUGUGUUUAGAUGCUUCGACACAGCUGUUUGAACGUCGAACUUUAUUUGCUUUACUCAGAGUUGGUUUUACAGGACUACAGGGCGCUCCUACUGAGUUGCCGGCCGGCUUUUUGGAUCUGAUCACAACUGGACAGGCGGGCUGGGGCUAAACAGGAUUGUAAAGAGGAUCAGAGAGGCUGUGGUGUUGUCUGUGUAACUGACGACUGAGCUACUAAACUUGCCUUUUGGAUUUAAAAAAGAGAAAAAAGGAAAAGACUGACCCUGACCCGCAGUCUCACCCUUUUCUGGAUCACCGCUGAGUUAAUAGAGGUGGUCUGGACAAGGCUGGUGUGGAGAAUCUGACCCCAACUGACCCUGUCUCGCAAGUAGCCUUUCACUGAGCCCGGACUGGCAAAAGGGACAAAUAAAAGUGCAAGAGAGGUGUCGUGGAGGACAGACGAAAGGCAGAGGAGCAGCACAGCGACCGGUAAGGAAGUUAAAGGGGGUUCUGAGAGCACGGGUGUGAGAGGGGGAGGAGUGGGGAGAAAAGAGUACAAAAGAGCCCCUUUUUUUUUUUUCCCUUAAGCUUAGAGAGGAUGUGUGGGAGCUGUUCACUGACCAUUAAAGCCAGGUGCUCGCCUACCUCUCCUCCUGUCAGCUAGUGUCUGACCAUGAAGCUGUAAAACUGUUUUC